CCUACGGGAGGCAGCAGUGGGGAAUAUUGGACAAUGGGCGAAAGCCUGAUCCAGCCAUGCCGCGUGUGUGAAGAAGGCCUUCGGGUUGUAAAGCACUUUCAGUGGGGAAGAAAGCCUUGGGGCUAAUACCCUCGAGGAAGGACAUCACCCACAGAAGAAGCACCGGCUAACUCCGUGCCAGCAGCCGCGGUAAUACGGAGGGUGCGAGCGUUAAUCGGAAUUACUGGGCGUAAAGCGCGCGUAGGCGGUCUGAUAAGCCGGUUGUGAAAGCCCCGGGCUCAACCUGGGAACGGCAUCCGGAACUGUCAGGCUAGAGUGCAGGAGAGGAAGGUAGAAUUCCCGGUGUAGCGGUGAAAUGCGUAGAGAUCGGGAGGAAUACCAGUGGCGAAGGCGGCCUUCUGGACUGACACUGACACUGAGGUGCGAAAGCGUGGGUAGCAAACAGGAUUAGAUACCCGAGUAGUC
rnacentral:rRNA from 1 species